UUCUAUUUAUAUUUUGUGUUAAUUAAGUUACCUUUUUAUAAGAUUAUUUUAUUAUAUACAAUAUAGUGACAUUACAUCCAAAGCAGAGAAGCACAUCGCUUGGUUUAGUAUCUAGAUAUACUUCAUCAGCAGCUAUCCCUUGCAAUCUUUGCACUAUCUACCUGCUCCAUUUUCAAUGCCGGAACGAUUAACUAAACUGUGUGUCGAUGGGCGAGUCCAGGAUCCCAGGACUCCUGGCACAUUGUGCUUAAUCGCGCCAAUCCGAUGCGGCGGGUUAAGGUGUAAUUAUGUGAGGCAUUCGCCCGGCUCAUAUCUGGCGGCCCUAUCUUGGUCAGGUGGCAGCCAGGUGGCUGCCCAAGAAGGCAACAAUAAAUUAUUUCAUUGCUGACCACAAACAACUCCACUUGCUGCUCUCACGUCCGCCAUAAGCGCCGCGUAAAAAUAGCUUGAAAUAUGUAAUUUUCCGGUUCAAUUACAGCGCCAGUGGUGGUUAGUGGUUACCUUUCGAGAGGAUUGGGGCUGGGUCUUGGUUUUGGUGCAGGUGCUGGUGCUGGUUAUGGACCUGGUCCUGUUCUUUUUCCUGCCACUCUGGUGCCGCGCACAUCCGCAUCCAAGAUGCAUGUCCGCCGAUAAGGUCACUCUGCCGGUCUCUCAACUCGGCGAUGUGCGGUCAGGAUAGACUCCGUAAUUUGUAGUAAAUCUCUGGGGCAACGAGUCUUUUCUGACACUUUGAAUAGAUCCCACCCACACACAUGCAGACCAACACAUAGAAACACGCUGCGGUUGUUUCGGGAGAUUUUGAAAAAUUCAUUUGCUGCGUGCCGUCAGGAAGAGAUGGAAUCCAAUUUUGGGUAGCAAAUAAACGAAAAUUUAAUAUUGAAA